rnacentral:tRNA from 1 species
UAAGAUUUUAAGUUAUGAAAACUAUAUACCUUCAAAGUAUAAAAUAUUUUAAUUUAAAUAAGUCUUAG